rnacentral:rRNA from 1 species
CUACGGGUGGCAGCAGUGGGGAAUAUUGGACAAUGGGCGCAAGCCUGAUCCAGCAAUGCCGCGUGAGUGAAGACGGCCUUAGGGUUGUAAAACUCUUUCGCUAGGGAAGAUAAUGACUGUACCUAGUAAAGAAGUCCCGGCUAACUCCGUGCCAGCAGCCGCGGUAAUACGGAGGGGACUAGCGUUGUUCGGAAUUACUGGGCGUAAAGAGUUCGUAGGCGGACUGACAAGUUAGAGGUGAAAUCCCAGGGCUCAACCCUGGAACUGCCUUUAAACUGUCAGUCUAGAGACCGGAAGAGGUUAGGGGAAUACCUGGUGUAGAGGUGAAAUUCGUAGAUAUUAGGUGGAACACCAGUGGCGAAGGCGCCUAACUGGUCCGGUACUGACGCUGAGGAACGAAAGCGUGGGGAGCAAACAGGAUUAGAUACCCCGGUAGUC